rnacentral:snoRNA from 2 species
GUGGCCUGUGAAAUUAUUUGUUACAAUUUGUCGCUCGUUGGAAUUGUUGCACUACUUUGCGGGCCCAGAAAGAACUUAGAUUCCAUUUUAAUCAUAGGCU